GUCUCCUUAGCUCAGCUGGAUAGAGCACCUCUCUUCUAAAGAGGUGGCCGCAGGUUCGAAUCCUGCAGGGGACACCA
rnacentral:tRNA from 1 species